rnacentral:lncRNA from 1 species
UGAAAUGUUAAAUGACCUAAAAAUGAAUGCAUGAAUGAGGGGGGGAAAUUUUGAGGUAUUACAGUGUGCAUAUGAUGAUAUUCUUGAAAGGAUUGUUUAUCCUGUGUUACUCUUGACCUUACCCUGGCCUAGAUUACACCCGUGAGUGGGGCGGGAAUGAAUCAUUUACAGGUACUGAUGGUGACUUGUUCUGAUGAUGACUUAUUCUGUUGGUGACUUUUGUUUGGUUCUUGUUGGUGACCGUUGGUUCUGAAGUAUGGGUUCUAAGUUGAUGACUGUGUUCUAUGGCUCCCGGUUCCGAAUUCAUGCUGAAGUUCUGAUCCUAUGCCUUGUGAUACACAGCCAACCAGCCAUUGUUUCAUCAUUUUGCAUCAUAGCAUGUUUAUUUUCAAAAAAAUAAUGCAUAAAAAAGAAAAAAAGUUACCCGCAUAUGCAUAUCAUUUUUCAGGUUUAUUCAAGAGUCUGUUCACACCGAGAGAUGGUUGCCAUUCCAGAGUUGAAGAGGAAGACUUGCACCUACAGCUUUUACCGUGAGCCAUUGACAUCUUUGGAAGAAUUGGGUAAUCUCGUGACCGACCGUAAUCAGAAAGUUUUUGAUGAUCAGUAUGGGGAUAUCUUGGCGUUGUUGAAGAUGGUGGUUGAUAUGGUACCUCUGCAGACUCUCUUACAGUUCUAUGAUCCGGAGAGGAAGUUGUUGAACUCAGAGUGCAACUGAAAGAGAAGCUCACCCCUCUAACUGAGUGUUUAGAAUGUGACCGAUUGAUGGAUCAUUGCUAGUAUUUGAAGACUCUCAUUCCUGAAGGACGACUUCCCUAGUUUGUCUUGUUGUUUAUUUUGAGAAUCACCUCCAGGAUUGUUGGGUGGGAUUCCUUGUUCUACACUGAUGAACUGAAUCUUUGCUUAAUUUGAAGACUCUCAUUCCUGAAGGACGACUUCCCUAGUUUGUCUUGUUGUUUAUUUUGAGAAUCACCUCCAGGAUUGUUGGGUGGGAUUCCUUGUUCUACACUGAUGAACUGAAUCUUUGCUUGAACUAUGUUUGUAUGAACCUUAUUUCUUAUGUCUAUGGAUGAGAUUAUUGAUGUUUCACUUUUUCUUGUCGUCCAUUGUAUGUUGCUUCUUUGUUGUUUAUGUUCCGCUUACGGGUGCAGGUGGCCAUUUUUCAAAGGUGGACGAGACUCUUGAAUACCUGAGAAAUGAUAAAACAUAGCAUACGCAUCAUACACAUAUCAUUCUUGCAUCAUUACAGGUGUUCUUGAAGAUGAUUUCUCAUUCUUGUCCCCGUUUCAGGAAGGAUUGCUGAGUAUCGUCCGCACCGUUACGCAACAAGGCAGAAUCGACAGAAGAUCCUGGAUCAAUUUCAAGCAGAGCUAGCAGAGAUGAGGACCAACAUGACCCAAUUCAUGAGUAUGAUGCAAGGGGUAGUGCAAGGGCAAGAGGAACUCCGAGCCUUGGUCCAGAGACAAGAAACUGUGAUUCCCCCUAUCGUCCAGAAUCCGCCAGAAGGAACCCCUGUCAAUGACACCGCUGCUGUUACCAGCCAUGUCAACAACUAUGCUACUGGUGACGAAUUGCAUGGUAUUAGGAUCGAUGGACAACCCCUCAUCACCGAGGCUGCUAAUGCUCG